rnacentral:tRNA from 15 species
AAAAAAAAAAAAAAAAACAAAAAAAAAAUAAAAAUCAGACAGAGAAAAACAAAAAAAAAAAAAAAAAACAAUUUUGUAGCCCCUCAGACCCCCUAAGAAAAACGUUUACCCUGUUUUAGGGGCCGUAGCUCAGCUGGGAGAGCACCUGCUUGCAAGCAGGGG